rnacentral:snRNA from 1 species
UUGUUUUGGCAACAUGUACACCAAAAAUAGAAUGAUAUGGAGAAGAUUAGCAUGGCCCCUGUGCUGACAGGAUGGUUCAGAAGAUAAGGAUGCCGAGCCUGAGCAU